CCUACGGGGGGCAGCAGUGAGGAAUAGUGGUCAAUGGGCGCGAGCCUGAACCAGCCAAGUCGCGUGAGGGAAGACGGUCCUAUGGAUUGUAAACCUCUUUUGUCGGGGAGCAAAAGACGCCACGCGUGGCGUUCCGAGAGUACCCGAAGAAAAAGCAUCGGCUAACUCCGUGCCAGCAGCCGCGGUAAUACGGAGGAUGCGAGCGUUAUCCGGAGUUAUUGGGUUUAACGGGUGCUCAGGCGGAAGAUCAAGGCAGCGGUAAAAUUGAGAGGCUCCACCUCUUCGAGCCGUUGAAACUGGUUUUCUUGAGUGUGUGAGACGUCUGCGGCAUGCGUGGUGUAGCGGU
rnacentral:rRNA from 1 species